rnacentral:rRNA from 1 species
GGGCACCACCAGGAGUGGAGCCUGCGGGUUAAUUUUACAUUACACGGGGGAAACUUAUCCGGCCUGGAGACUGGAAGGAUUGACAGAUUGAGAGCUCUUUCUUGAUUCAGUGGGUGGUGGUGCAUGGCCGUUCUUAGUUGGUGGAGCGAUUUGUCUGGUUAAUCCCGAUAACGAACGAGACUCUAGCCUAUUAAAUAGGCUCUCGGCUUUUAAACGCCGGGAGGACUUCUUAGAGGGACAGGUGGCGGUUCAGCCGCACGAAAGAGAGCAAUAACAGGUCUGUGAUGCCCUUUGUUGUCCGGGGCCGCACGCGCGCUACACUGAAGAGAUCAGCGUGCUUUACGUUCCUGCUCCGACCGGAGUGGGGAACCCAGUGAACCUUCUUCGUGAUUGGGAUAGAAGAUUGUAAUUAUUCUUCUUGAACGAGGAAUUCCCAGUAAAUGCGAGUCAUAAGCUCGCGUUGAUUACGUCCCUGCCCUUUGUACACACCGCCCGUCGCUACUACCGAUUGAACGAUUU